UACGAAGGGGGGCUAGCGUUGUUCGGAAUUACUGGGCGUAAAGCGCACGUAGGCGGAUAUUUAAGUCAGGGGUGAAAUCCCAGAGCUCAACUCUGGAACUGCCUUUGAUACUGGGUAUCUUGAGUAUGGAAGAGGUAAGUGGAAUUGCGAGUGUAGAGGUGAAAUUCGUAGAUAUUCGCAGGAACACCAGUGGCGAAGGCGGCUUACUGGUCCAUAACUGACGCUGAGGUGCGAAAGCGUGGGGAGCAAACAGG
rnacentral:rRNA from 1 species